GUACACAAAAAUGCACAUAUUGUGAGCUCGAUGAGUAGGGCGGGACACGUGGUAUCCUGUCUGAAUAUGGGGGGACCAUCCUCCAAGGCUAAAUACUCCUGACUGACCGAUAGUGAACCAGUACCGUGAGGGAAAGGCGAAAAGAACCCCGGCGAGGGGAGUGAAAAAGAACCUGAAACCGUGUACGUACAAGCAGUGGGAGCCUCUUUAUGGGGUGACUGCGUACCUUUUGUAUAAUGGGUCAGCGACUUAUAUUCUGUAGCAAGGUUAACCGAAUAGGGGAGCCGAAGGGAAACCGAGUCUUAACUGGGCGUUAAGUUGCAGGGUAUAGACCCGAAACCCGGUGAUCUAGCCAUGGGCAGGUUGAAGGUUGGGUAACACUAACUGGAGGACCGAACCGACUAAUGUUGAAAAAUUAGCGGAUGACUUGUGGCUGGGGGUGAAAGGCCAAUCAAACCGGGAGAUAGCUGGUUCUCCCCGAAAGCUAUUUAGGUAGCGCCUCGUGAAUUCAUCUCCGGGGGUAGAGCACUGUUUCGGCAAGGGGGUCAUCCCGACUUACCAACCCGAUGCAAACUGCGAAUACCGGAGAAUGUUAUCACGGGAGACACACGGCGGGUGCUAACGUCCGUCGUGAAGAGGGAAACAACCCAGACCGCCAGCUAAGGUCCCAAAGUCAUGGUUAAGUGGGAAACGAUGUGGGAAGGCCCAGACAGCCAGGAUGUUGGCUUAGAAGCAGCCAUCAUUUAAAGAAAGCGUAAUAGCUCACUGGUCGAGUCGGCCUGCGCGGAAGAUGUAACGGGGCUAAACCAUGCACCGAAGCUGCGGCAGCGACACUAUGUGUUGUUGGGUAGGGGAGCGUUCUGUAAGCCUGUGAAGGUGGCCUGUGAGGGUUGCUGGAGGUAUCAGAAGUGCGAAUGCUGACAUAAGUAACGAUAAAGCGGGUGAAAAGCCCGCUCGCCGGAAGACCAAGGGUUCCUGUCCAACGUUAAUCGGGGCAGGGUGAGUCGACCCCUAAGGCGAGGCCGAAAGGCGUAGUCGAUGGGAAACAGGUUAAUAUUCCUGUACUUGGUGUUACUGCGAAGGGGGGACGGAGAAGGCUAUGUUGGCCGGGCGACGGUUGUCCCGGUUUAAGCGUGUAGGCUGGUUUUCCAGGCAAAUCCGGAAAACCAAGGCUGAGGCGUGAUGACGAGGCACUACGGUGCUGAAGCGACAAAUGCCCUGCUUCCAGGAAAAGCCUCUAAGCAUCAGGUAACAUCAAAUCGUACCCCAAACCGACACAGGUGGUCAGGUAGAGAAUACCAAGGCGCUUGAGAGAACUCGGGUGAAGGAACUAGGCAAAAUGGUGCCGUAACUUCGGGAGAAGGCACGCUGAUAUGUAGGUGAAGCGACUUGCUCGUGGAGCUGAAAUCAGUCGAAGAUACCAGCUGGCUGCAACUGUUUAUUAAAAACACAGCACUGUGCAAACACGAAAGUGGACGUAUACGGUGUGACGCCUGCCCGGUGCCGGAAGGUUAAUUGAUGGGGUUAGCGGUAACGCGAAGCUCUUGAUCGAAGCCCCGGUAAACGGCGGCCGUAACUAUAACGGUCCUAAGGUAGCGAAAUUCCUUGUCGGGUAAGUUCCGACCUGCACGAAUGGCGUAAUGAUGGCCAGGCUGUCUCCACCCGAGACUCAGUGAAAUUGAACUCGCUGUGAAGAUGCAGUGUACCCGCGGCAAGACGGAAAGACCCCGUGAACCUUUACUAUAGCUUGACACUGAACAUUGAGCCUUGAUGUGUAGGAUAGGUGGGAGGCUUUGAAGUGUGGACGCCAGUCUGCAUGGAGCCGACCUUGAAAUACCACCCUUUAAUGUUUGAUGUUCUAACGUUGGCCCGUAAUCCGGGUUGCGGACAGUGUCUGGUGGGUAGUUUGACUGGGGCGGUCUCCUCCUAAAGAGUAACGGAGGAGCACGAAGGUUGGCUAAUCCUGGUCGGACAUCAGGAGGUUAGUGCAAUGGCAUAAGCCAGCUUGACUGCGAGCGUGACGGCGCGAGCAGGUGCGAAAGCAGGUCAUAGUGAUCCGGUGGUUCUGAAUGGAAGGGCCAUCGCUCAACGGAUAAAAGGUACUCCGGGGAUAACAGGCUGAUACCGCCCAAGAGUUCAUAUCGACGGCGGUGUUUGGCACCUCGAUGUCGGCUCAUCACAUCCUGGGGCUGAAGUAGGUCCCAAGGGUAUGGCUGUUCGCCAUUUAAAGUGGUACGCGAGCUGGGUUUAGAACGUCGUGAGACAGUUCGGUCCCUAUCUGCCGUGGGCGCUGGAGAACUGAGGGGGGCUGCUCCUAGUACGAGAGGACCGGAGUGGACGCAUCACUGGUGUUCGGGUUGUCAUGCCAAUGGCACUGCCCGGUAGCUAAAUGCGGAAGAGAUAAGUGCUGAAAGCAUCUAAGCACGAAACUUGCCCCGAGAUGAGUUCUCCCUGAGACUUAGAGUCUCCUGAAGGAACGUUGAAGACGACGACGUUGAUAGGCCGGGUGUGUAAGCGCAGCGAUGCGUUGAGCUAACCGGUACUAAUGAACCGUGAGG
rnacentral:rRNA from 1 species